rnacentral:rRNA from 1 species
AGCAGCCGCGGUAAUUCCAGCUCCAAUAGCGUAUAUUAAAGUUGUUGCAGUUAAAAAGCUCGUAGUUGAAUUUCGGGGUCAGCAGGUUGGUCGUGCCACUGGUAUGUACUGGUCUCGCUGAUUCCUCCCUCUUGUAGAACCGUAAUGCCAUUAAGUUGGUGUUGCGGGGAAACAGGACUGUUACUUUGAAAAAUUAGAGUGUUUAAAGCAGGCUAACGCUUGAAUACAUUAGCAUGGAAUAAUGAAAUAGGACGAUCGAUCCUAUUUUGUUGGUUUCUAGGGUUGGCGUAAUGAUUAAUAGGGAUAGUUGGGGGCAUUAGUAUUCAAUUGUCAGAGGUGAAAUUCUUGGAUUUAUUGAAGACUAACUACUGCGAAAGCAUUUG